GACACGUUUCCAGGCCACGAGGGUUAAGGCUUUCCGAAGCAGGACAAGUUCGCGAGAGUUAUAAAUAAAAUUGCCAACUAGGAUUAAAAUUAGUCGAACCGCGGUGAAGAAAGUUUUGUCUACGCCGUGGAGCGAGCGUGGUGCACGGUGCAACUGGUACGUGCCAAACCAGAAAAUGAUAUAAAAUCGUCGGCCAGAGGGUUCGAAGCUGGAAGUUUGACGACGCUAUUAGCCGCACUAAAUCUGUUGGCUUACGUUAAGUCGUUGAGGAAUGACGGCCGGGAAAAUACCGAUACCGGCGAUGUUUGCGUGGCUUUUAUUAGACGUAAUCGACACGGAUGCGAGUAAGCCGGGAUUAGACUAAACCGGGAAUUAAAGUCUCUGCGAGAUGUGCAUCGCUGGAUAUCGCAAAGGAUAGUUUAUUCCGGAUCGUAAAGUGCAAUCUGGUUUCUCGACACAAGGGAACACGCGCGAUGCAGGAGAAACCGGAACUCAGGGGAAAACGAAGGAGCAGUUCUGGCGCAGGACAGGUCCGAAGCCAGGAUUACACGUCGCUCCUUUUUGCUUCUGUCGAAGAAACUAAUUUCUUGGCUAAUAGACCGGAGUACAAGAUUGCCUCCCACUUGGAACUCGAUUACACAUUUCUGAAGGAAAUGCUAUAUUAAUUAUCUUUAACCUUUGUUGAACCUCAGAAAUUAAUUCCCCGGUUAAUAGACUAGAGGUACAAGCUCGUAUCGCGGCUCGAAUUUGAUUACGUGCUUCCAAAGGGAAUGCUGUCUUAAUUAUCUAUAAUUACCGCGCACUGUUCCUAUAAUCGGUGCAUUAAUAUUGUGCGCGUCGAAUUAGAGCGAAGUUGACAAGCAAUUAUGAAAAAUCAACUCAAUUUACUACCAUAUCGCGUUCGAUCUAAUGAACAGUUUGUGUUUAAUUAAUUUCGACAGGUUUACAAUCCUAAUUAUGUCUAUGCAUAACUCGAUAGAGGGUCUUUAUCAAUCCUUUAAUCUUAUAUGCUAUGAAAAGUCCGAUUACAUGUUUCUGCCGAUAUAAACAGUUCCAAUUGAGUAAAACCAAUUAUUUCGCUAACGCAUUUUUACGCGA